CAAGACAACUUUACGGAGUUGACGAUUGACGGAGCGAAGCGACGUCAAAGCGUUCAUUAAAGUCGAGUUGGCUUAGGGAUACGUUCGUUGGGUAGGGGAGCGUUCUGUAAGCCUGUGAAGGUGUGUCGUGAGGCAUGCUGGAGGUAUCAGAAGUGCGAAUGCUGACAUAAGUAACGAUAAAGCGGGUGAAAAGCCCGCUCGCCGGAAGACCAAGGGUUCCUGUCCAACGUUAAUCGGGGCAGGGUGAGUCGACCCCUAAGGCGAGGCCGAAAGGCGUAGUCGAUGGGAAACGGGUUAAUAUUCCCGUACUUGGUGUUACUGCGAAGGGGGGACGGAGAAGGCUAUGUUGGCCGGGCGACGGUUGUCCCGGUUUAAGCGUGUAGGUGUGUGUUCCAGGUAAAUCCGGUUCACUUUAACACUGAGGCGUGACGACGAGGCACUACGGUGCUGAAGCAACAAAUGCCCUGCUUCCA
rnacentral:rRNA from 1 species